rnacentral:rRNA from 1 species
AUUGAACGCUGGCGGCAUGCUUUACAAAUGCAAGUCGAACGGCAGCGGGGGCUUCGGCCUGCCGGCGAGUGGCGAACGGGCGAGUAAUGCAUCGGAACGUGCCUAUGUUGUGGGGGAUAACUACGCGAAAGCGUAGCUAAUACCGCAUAAGCCCUGAGGGGGAAAGCGGGGGAUUCUUCGGAACCGUGUGCGCUUGGAGCGGCCGAUGUCGGCUUAGCUAGUAGGUGAGGUAAAGGCCCACCUAGGCGACGAUCCGGAGCGGGUCUGAGAGGAUGAUCCGCCACACUGGGACUGAGACACGGCCCAGACUCCUACGGGAGGCAGCAGUGUGGAAUUUUGGACAAUGGGCGCAAGCCUGAUCCAGCCAUGCCGCGUGAGUGAAGAAGGCCUUCGGGUUGUAAAGCUCUUUCGGCCGGGAAGAAAUCGGCGACUCUAACAUAGUCGCUGGAUGACGGUACCGGACUAAGAAGCACCGGCUAACUACGUGCCAGCCGCCGCAGUAAGAC